rnacentral:rRNA from 1 species
AUGAACGCUGGCGGCGUGCCUAAUACAUGCAAGUCGAGCGAACAGACGAGGAGCAUGCUCCUCUGACGUUAGCGGCGGACGGGUGAGUAACACGUGGAUAACCUACCUAUAAGACUGGGAUAACUUCGGGAAACCGGAGCUAAUACCGGAUAAUAUAUUGAACCGCAUGGUUCAAUAGUGAAAGACGGUUUUGCUGUCACUUAUAGAUGGAUCCGCGCCGCAUUAGCUAGUUGGUAAGGUAACGGCUUACCAAGGCAACGAUGCGUAGCCGACCUGAGAGGGUGAUCGGCCACACUGGAACUGAGACACGGUCCAGACUCCUACGGGAGGCAGCAGUAGGGAAUCUUCCGCAAUGGGCGAAAGCUUGACGGAGCAACGCCGCGUGAGUGAUGAAGGUCUUCGGAUCGUAAAACUCUGUUAUUAGGGAAGAACAAAUGUGUAAGUAACUAUGCACGUCUUGACGGUACCUAAUCAGAAAGCCACGGCUAACUACGUG